UACACGUUCGGUGGAGGAACCAGACUGGAUGUUGGAAGUGAUUUGCGCCCCACCCUGACAGUGCUGCCCCCCUCCAGAGAAGAGCUGGAGCAGGGGAAGGCCACGCUCAUGUGCCUGGCCAACAAGGGCUUCCCCUCAGACUGGAGUCUGGCCUGGAAGGUGGACGGCAGCAGCAGCAGCAGCUGGGAGGAGAGCAGGAGCCCCGGGGUGCUGGGGAAGGACGGCCACUACAGCUGGAGCAGCACCCUGAGGCUCCCUGCAGACCAGUGGAGGAAGGUGGGCUCUGUGACCUGUGAGGCCACCCAGGGCUCCCAGACUCCGCUCUCAGAGACACUGAGGAGAGACCAGUGUUCCCAGUCCUGAGCUGACUCACUGGCAGGGACUCUGCUACUGGUUUUACUCUGACACUGCUCUCACUCUGCUCUCUGCAACUAGCUCUGGCUUUUAUUUCACCUGUUUCAGUAGACACAUUUACCAGCUUGUUUGACAUUUUUGUCACUUCUUCUGACUUUUUCGUCAGUUUUUCCUAAGUUUUAGUCAAUUUUUCUGAAGUUUUGGUCACAUUUUCCGACAAUUGUCAGUCUCAUUUUGUUGUACUUGAGUAAUUCAUCACUGCUGCAACUAUGUCUUUUAUUUGAUGUGUAUUGACAGUGCUAUUUGCAAGCUUGUUGCAUUGUUUCAGUUUUAUUUCAGUGUUUCCAGAUAAUAAACACGUUUUCAUCAAA